GAUGAAGAACGCAGCGAAAUGCGAUACUUGGUGUGAAUUGCAGAAUCCCGUGAACCAUCGAGUCUUUGAACGCAAGUUGCGCCCGAAGCCAUUAGGCCGAGGGCACGCCUGCCUGGGCGUCACACGUCGUUGCCCCCCCAUCUACUCCUUCGGGAUUGCGGGGGGCGGAUGAUGGCCUCCCGUGCGCCUCGUCGCGCGGUUGGCCUAAAUGCCAAGUCCUCGGCGACGCACGCCACGACAAUCGGUGGUUGCGAAACCUCGGUUGCCCGUCGUGUGCGGUCGUCGCGCAUCGAGGGCUCGAAAAAAUUGCCGGGCUCCGGCUCGGCUUUCAACGCGACCCCAGGUCAGGCGGGGUUACCCGCUGAAUUUAAGCAUAUCAAUAAGCGGAGGA
rnacentral:misc_RNA from 1 species